AGUCAACUAGGGACUUGAGGGUAUAAUUUUUCUUUUUUCUUUUGAGAAAGAUUUGAAAAAAAAUUCCUGAUUUUUGAUUUUUCAUCUUUUUCACCCUCUUCUCUUUUUUCUUUUUCUUUUUUUUUUCUUUUUUUUUUUUUUGAUUGCAUUUGCAAUGCCCCAGUUUGACUGUUUAGCUGAUUCUCAUGAUACAGCUGAAUGAGCUCCUUUUGUGCUCAAGAAGGCGGGUAAUCUCGUCAGGAAUCCCCUUCAACAUCAUCUUCCUCUACUUCGAAUACAAAGAAUUCAAGAUUGGGAGAUGGCGUUGGAUCAUUAUGUUCAAUGGGUUUAGAAAUCCCUGCAUAAUGAUUCUGGAUAAUGAAAAGCUUUUGUAUUUAAACAAGCAAAUCAGUUAUGCAGAUGAAAAGAUUGUUUUCUUGUUUUUCAGGUUUU
rnacentral:lncRNA from 1 species